ACAGGGCAGCAGCUGCUGCCACUCGAGUGAGCAACAACAACAGCCCAACAACCAGCUGAGUCAUUAAACCAAAGAACUCAGCUAGGUUGACUGCCAGGUCAAGGUCUCUGGGCCACAUAACUGGACCCAGCUCUGGAUCUCCAGUGGAAGGAUAGUCAGGAACUACUCCAGGAACAGCAGUUGCAGGAUCAGGUUUGCAAACAGUGGUUUGAGACUCAUCCUUAUUUGUUGGUGCAAAAAGAUCCAGCUGAAAUAUGGACACCAUCGGACUUGAGUAGGGUUAAUCUACUUAGGCUCAGAAGCAAUAUCUGAAUUAGGAAAAUGAAAGCAUGGAACGUG